rnacentral:tRNA from 1 species
UGCUCGAUAGCACAACGGUAGUGCGGCGCACUGUUAAUGCGUAGGUUCUAGGUUCGAAUCCUAGUCGAGCAG